rnacentral:rRNA from 1 species
UACGUAGGGGGCGAGCGUUAUCCGGAUUUACUGGGCGUAAAGCGCGUUAAGGCGGUUGGCAAAGUUGGUUGUGAAAUCUCAGGGCUCAACCCUGAAAUUGCGACCAAUACUGGUCGACUAGAGUGUGAGAGAGGAAGGUGGAAUUCCCGGUGUAGUAGUGAAAUGCGUAGAUAUCAGGAGGAACACCGGUGGCGAAGGCGGGUCUCUGGGCCGAAACUGACGCUGAGGAGCGAAAGCGUGGGGAGCGAACAGG